GGGCCCGUCGUCUAGCUUGGUAGGAUGCGGGGUACACGACCCCGUGGUCCCGGGUUCAAAUCCCGGCGGGCCCACCA
rnacentral:tRNA from 1 species